rnacentral:snRNA from 1 species
AUACUUACCUGGACAGGGUCAAUGGGCGAUCAAUAAGACCCAUGGCCUAGGUUGGUGACCUCCAUUGCACUUUGGAGGGGUGCUUGCCUAAGGUCGACCCAAGUGGUCGAGCCUACGUCAUAAUUUGUGGCAGCGGGGGCCUGCGUCCGCGCGGCCCCUAC